rnacentral:rRNA from 1 species
CGCUGGCGGCAUGCCUCAUACAUGCAAGUCGAACGCAGGCUUCGGCCUGAGUGGCGCACGGGUGAGUAGCGCGUGGGAACCUACCCUUUCGUGGGGGAUAACCGAGGGAAACUUCGGCUAAUACCGCAUACGCCGGGUAACCGGGAAAGAUUUAUCGCGGAAGGAUGGGCCCGCGUCGGAUUAGCUAGUUGGUGGGGUAAUGGCCUACCAAGGCAAUGAUCCGUAGCUGGUCUGAGAGGAUGAUCAGCCACACUGGGACUGAGACACGGCCCAGACUCCUACGGGAGGCAGCAGUAGGGAAUAUUGGACAAUGGGCGAAAGCCUGAUCCAGCAAUGCCGCGUGAGUGAGGAAGGCCUUAGGGUUGUAAAGCUCUUUCGGCGGGGACGAUGAUGACGGUACCCGCAGAAGAAGCCCCGGCUAACUUCGUGCCAGCAGCCGCGGUAAUACGAAGGGGGCAAGCGUUGUUCGGAAUUACUGGGCGUAAAGGGCGCGUANGCGGCCAUCUUUGUCAGGUGUGAAAGCC